rnacentral:rRNA from 1 species
AGUGAACGCUGGCGGUAGGCCUAACACAUGCAAGUCGAACGGCAGCACAGUAAGAGCUUGCUCUUACGGGUGGCGAGUGGCGGACGGGUGAGGAAUACAUCGGAAUCUACUUUUUCGUGGGGGAUAACGUAGGGAAACUUACGCUAAUACCGCAUACGACCUACGGGUGAAAGCAGGGGAUCUUCGGACCUUGCGCGAUUGAAUUAGCCGAUGUCGGAUUAGCUAGUUGGCGGGGUAAAGGCCCACCAAGGCGACGAUCCGUAGCUGGUCUGAGAGGAUGAUCAGCCACACUGGAACUGAGACACGGUCCAGACUCCUACGGGAGGCAGCAGUGGGGAAUAUUGGACAAUGGGCGCAAGCCUGAUCCAGCAAUACCGCGUGGGUGAAGAAGGACUUCGGGUUGUAAAGCCCUUUUGUUGGGAAAGAAAAGCAGCAGGUUAAUACCCCGCUGUUAUGACGGUACCCAAAGAAUAAGCACCGGCUAACUUCGUG